UACGUAGGAGGCGAGCGUUGUCCGGAAUCACUGGGCGUAAAGCGCGUGUAGGCGGGGGGGGCAAGUCUGCUGUGAAAGCGCCUGGCUUAACCGGGCGAGGUCGGCGGAAACUGCUUCCCUAGAGGGCGGUAGAGGGGGGGUGGAAUUCCCGGUGUAGUGGUGAAAUGCGUAGAGAUCGGGAGGAACACCUGUGGCGAAGGCGGCCCCCCUGGGCCGUACCUGACGCUGAGACGCGAAGGCGUGGGGAGCAAACAGG
rnacentral:rRNA from 1 species